ACCAAGUUUUUCGGUCUUAACGGUCUACGACGGAUCGAAUUCGAAUGCGUGCGGGAUGUGAGAAACCGGGUCACGGUUUCGUCUCCCCCGCGAAAGAAGAGCGGCCGAUCGGCGCGACGGAACCGUGAAAACAGUUUUCAUUAGCGACCUGAUUUUUCCAUAUAGAGCGCGGGGGAGGUAAGAAGAGGGGGAAAAAAGCCACGUUCGCGAUUUGUUCCUCAUGAGCUUGAUUUUAAAUUUAAUUUCCACUUUUUCAACACCGUCGCACAAAUUCGCAAACCGCCGCGUGACAAAUUUAUUUGUCUCUUUCCCUCUCUUUUUUUUUUCGCGUGCGUGAGAUGAAAGCGGAAUGAGCAGACGCGUGACAUAGAUGAAUUACCGUGCAUUAAAAGCGCGGGACUACCGCAUGCCUGCGAUACAAUAAAUUAUCUUUGCACGGGUAAAGACGUCGACGCUCGAUCGCUUUUUUUUUUUUUUUCAAACAUUGCUCGACAAACGUAAGGUACACGUAUUUUCUUGUUCUCCCUCUUUCUCCUUUCCUCUCUCUAGCCCCCGUAAGUACACGUGCGAAGAGAAAAACGCUCCACACUCCUCGUAGCAUCGGUUAUUUAUGUUCACACCUAUGAGAUGUAUACGAGAACCCGAGGCUUAAAGCCCGACUUUAAAUCGAAACACCAGCUUUAAGCGUGGGGCUUCGAGAUACAUAAAAAAAAGAGAAGAGAGAACCAGAAUACGCAACGACAAAAUCCAUUAUUUCUCGUUGCAUUUUGAUGUCGAGUAAAUAACGUUGUCUCACGUAAUGACGUGUACAAGAGUGACGCUCGGAACAAUGGAAAUUAUUUCGCUGAAAUUAAAAUGCGCUGGGAUAGCCAGAUACCGGAUAAUACACAGCGCAAUUUUACUGUAAUGUAAUUUUAUUAUACCAUUGUAGUAAAGGGGAGCUAAUCUUCUGUAAUUUCGAUGUGGUACGAUGUCGGUGCCUUCCUUCAGACGUUAUCCAUUACCGCCGUCGAACUAUGAAUUUUAAAAGCAACCCCCUUUUUUCCUCUCUCCUUCUCUCUCUCUCUCUCUUUCUCUUUCUCUUUCUCGCAUCGCUCGUAACUAGCAAGCCGAAUGGAUUACGCGAGGCGCGAAAAUCCGGGAAUCGAAUACGAGAGUUGAGAAAUAACGGGAAACCGCCCCGAAGGCAAAUUUGACUUGCAUCGAAAAACGUUCAUCGAUGCCAACGAACUGGCGUAACUUUUUUUUGCAAAACGACGGUAGAGAAUUAAUCCAUUCGUACGAUUGGAUUGCAGUCUAACUCCCGUGUGUUCGUUCUACUUGGGAUAAAUAAUGAAAUUUAGUUUGGACAGCUAUCGAUAAAUUUUUGCGAUAUUAAAAAUUAUUUCAAAAAUGCAAAACACUCGCUUACGUUUUUAAAAUUUAAAUAAAGUUUUUUUUAGAUCAACUAAAAAAACGGCCGGUAAUUAAGCAGUCAAAUUAAUCGAUAAGGUUACUAACGAUAGAGAGUCUAAAAAAAAUCCGUGACACUUUAUAUAUUUAUAGGUUAAUGCAGAAAAUAUAAGAGCCACAUAAAAAAAAACACUUUUUUUUUUCAUUAAACUUGAAAUAGGUAGACACACUUUUAUGGCAUUUGUCCCAGGGUUCUUUACAGCUUUUCUAAAGUGGAAUGUUGAAAAUAAGCAAAAAAUGAAUGCAAAAAACUAAGUAGUCCAGGACUCUGUAAAAUUUAUGCUUUAAUUUUUCAUUGAUACAAAUGCAGAGAGAAACCAAGUCUAAUUUCUUCAGAUUUAAGUUUCUAACUUAAUACACAUGCACCUCAAUCAGGAAUGUGACAAAAAUAUUACCGUCAUACAUAUUUAAAUUCACAAAAGUUAAUCCGUGUUAGCUUAUUGUAACUAAAAGUUUAGUUUCGUUGUAACUAGAAAAUUAAACAGCUUUUCGUUAAUACUGAGAAAUGUUAUACUCGUGCACCCUUCUUCUGCACUCGCCGAUUCAUUUAUACAAAACAGAAACGGCAUGGUGAUUUCACGCAGGUAGAUCCGAGAGCAUUAUUGCCGAAUUUAUAAUGCAAUGUAAUUUAACGUUUCAUAUACGGGCAAAAUAGUGGCGGCUUCGUUCUAAAAUUUGCACGGCGAAUACGUUCGAGUAAAUUUGCGAGCGUGUGCAACCUAGUUGUGAAAUUUCAUGUCUACUAGCUUAAUUAAAGCGGUGCUAUGUGCCAUGGUUUGUAUACAUACAGUGAUGAAUAGUCUGUUUUUAAAAGAAAUACGAGAAAUAAAAAGAGAAAUCAAAAGAGAGAGAAAAAUGGAAAAAGGAAGAGAGAGAGAGAGAGAGACAGAGAGAGAAAGGUAGUUUUACGCUUGCAUAAAAUAAUAUGUACGUGCAUCUCGCUGCAAGAUGCAACCGUUAAAACGUUAUCACCAAUUAUUAUACGCUUUUAGAGCGAAGCCGCCAUACGGUAAGGAAACACCGCUGGAGCAGGGUAAUGAAACUGAUGGUAAAGUUCUGUUCGUCGGAACUCCUUCGUGGAAUUAUCGUAAGGAUGGGUGAAUCGCCUUGAAGCCGCAUAAAGAUUCGUGCCAUCAAGCUGCAUAUUGUACCGAGCAAUUCGAAUAAAAGUUUUCGGCUUUCCGCAUGCUUUUAUUCCCAUUUCUGUACACAAGAAGUAUAGCGACUUAAUAAUUCGAGUUGAACUCUGGUUCCUCCAUCUUUUAUUUGUACUAGUGGAUUUCUAUGUAAACGACUUUAUAUUUGAAGAAGAAAAAUGUUGAUUUCCUCGCAUUUCACUUGCAAACGGACUUUCUUACUUGUAUAAAAUAUUCGGAUUCUUUUCACAAAAAUUGUCAUAAGUCAUAAAAUAUAAAUAUUUCAUCAAUUAUAUUUCACAAAAAUAUAAAAAAAAAAAAAAAAUUAAAAAAAAAAUUGUGUUUGUGUUUUAUAUUUUUUAUUCAGAUUUAAAUCUUACGAUUUAUUAAUUUGGUGACGGUGUCUUGUGUAUUGUAUUAAAUGACAAAAGACACGACCAAAAUUGCGAUCUCUAUUGCAAAUAGCCACAAUUUUGCGGAAUAGCGAUGGUCGCUGCGAUCGAUACAACAUGCGGUGUACCUAUAUCGGGAAACGUUGACUGAGUUGCAGCGGACCUUCGUAAUUUUCGACAGGAGUUUGCAGAGCACGUGGAGCGAACUAAUUCGAUUAUGGACAAUCUGACCGCGCGCCGAGGGAAAAUUUAAAGUUCGCUCGAGGAGCGCGCAGCACGCGAUGCUGUAAUUGCCGAUUCCGUUAUUAUUUCAUUAGCGUAAUGUAGUGUGUAUAACAAUGUAAAUUAGUAGCAUGGAAACAUCGGCGCAGCACCGUGAUUUAAAUUGCGAAGAAUCGAAUGAUCGUGACAUAUUACUUCCUAAUUACACGCGCCGGGUGCGUAUUACAUUGCCGUAUGUUUGCAACGUAACUAAAUAAAAAGUCAAUGCCAGUUUUAUUAAAUUCAAAUCAGUUUGUAUAACUUGUACCGUGCAUGUUGAUAAGGUAAACUGAUAUCGUACGACAAUAUAUACACGUACAUACAAUAAUGCUGCGUGUACGUCACGAACACCAAACCAGAGUUUAUUUAAUCUCGAACUCGCAUCCUGUUAAUUUUCAGCGGGUAAUUCGCAUUCCUGGGAGAUUUCCAGACAGAGAGAGAGAGAGAGAGAGAGAAAGAGAGAAGUAGAAACAGAGAGGGGGAAAAGGGAGAAAAAGAGAGAGAGAGAGAGAUCAAUGGAGGAAAUUUGUGCAACUCUUGUUGAGUAAUUUUGUGCUAAGUGAACUACACCCAGGAAUUAAUUCGUCAGUAAACUAAACUACUGACGCCUAUUUAAAGUUUACUCCACUUAAACUGAUGUUCGUACAAACUGCGUUUCGACAUUAUCUUUAAGCGACUUAAUACAUAAUUUAUCGCUUUCGAAAUUGUUGCACGAAGUGCUCGAUUUAUGGCAAAGUUAUUAGUUAUAAAUAUCGAUCGCGCUUGGCAACUCUGUCUCGCGAUUGUAAGGAAUAAUUUAGAAUGCCAUUGGAGAGCAAAUUACUGAAAAAGAGAGUUCAAUAAAUUAAGCAAUUAUUAUUCAAUUUUGGUCUCGGAGAAUUUCCCUUCCGGAGCAAGCGAAGUUAUUUUCGCAGAGGCUAAGUAUCUUGGGAUACCACUUCCUGCAAUAAUAAAUUUUCUAAGUAGAACAAUUUAAAAAUAGAGAGACAGAAAGAGAGAGAGAGAGAGAGAGAGAGAAAGAGAGAUGAUAAUGAGUGAGCAAUUGAAUGAGAGAGGUGUUUUAAAAUUCUAUUCAAGUUGCUCGCGAAAAAUAAUUGGCGGCGGGAGAAAGAUGGAUAUUACGGUUGUACUUCUCCGCGAGAGGGUUCGCUAUAACUUAACCGUGAGAGGCGUUACCGCGUGCCACUCUUCGCGAUGCUCGUGUGAGACCGCGAAGCUGAGGAGUGUUCGGAAUAACGAGGGAAAUGUAGGACGCAGAAACUUUGGACGAACAGGUUCAUACGAAUCGUAGCGCGCUGUUCGAUUUUUAUCGAGUGCGCCAUAAAAGCGGGGGAGAGGGCGAAUAAAAGCGCCAAUAUCGUAUGUUAGCGCGUCAAGAAAUCUCGCCGGAAAAAUGAAAAAUAAUGCCGAGCGCGAUUUUAUUCGAAUAAUGGGUAAAUAGAAGAAACAAACUUCUUCGUGGGAUUUAAUGAGCGCAAGUAAGUUUCUCAAUGCAAAUAAGAAUUUACAGAGAAAAUGGAACGCGGAUAAUUUGUAUUACGGAUAUUUGUUUGUUAAAAGUUUUUUAUUUUAGAGCUGCAGUUCUCUCACUUCGUGAAUCUUUCGCUUUCACUCAUAUUAUUAUUUUCGUAAGUUAGCUCGAGUGCUCUUAAUUGAAAGGAUUUCUGUAUAAAAGUCAAACAGUUCCAUUUUUUAAGAAAUCUGGGACGUGGUGUCCUACUUAUUAGUCUCUGUUAACAGAAUAACGUAAAGAUUAAACAAAAAGCAUAAAUAAAUAAUAAAUCUAAAAUUUUUCUGGCAAAUGCUAAAAUGCUAAAUAAUUCCAAAAGUGCUCUUUACCUUCUUUUAAUAGAUUCUCCAACAAAUUAAUCCUAAACCCUAAAUCUUUGCUUGCAUACGCUUGGAAAAAAAUUAUUCUAUUUCCAAAUAUUAAUUAUAAAGUAUACAAUUCUGUUUUUACAUACUUAUUACAUGUCCGGGGAGAAAUUUGAAUAUUUUUACAAUAAAUGCGCGACUGAAGAUAGAAAGUUUUCGUUUCUUGAAAAUUGAACUUUUUGAACUUGUUUGAUUUUUAUAGGGAUUUCUUCAGUUAUCGCUAAAACAAUUGAGAAUCUCAAGCCGUGAACAUAGAAGAUUGAAAAGAUAAUCUUUCCUAUAAUAGAGAACGAUGUCUUUCCUAAUGAACUUUCCUACAGAACUUUAAUUUCUCAGAGUCGGCGAGUCAAUUACAAAGAUAUUUAAACUACGUCCGGAGAGAUCCUCGUUGAAGUAACAUCGUCCGCGAGUUACCGUCAAACAUCGUUUAAACGAGAAGUAAACGAGAAGAGCCGCGAUUAAUACCCCGAGAAUAUCUCGUAUUCUUCAGUCCAGGGUCCCUCUACAUUCAUGCUUUUAGCGUGCACAUCUCCGAGAACAAGUUUCUCGUGAUCCGUAAGAAAGCAGCAAGCCCGCUCGGUUUUCUUGUGUCGAGAUGGGAUGGAUGCCUCACCCUCGCUCGUCAUUAGUUAGCCGGCAAAGAGACGGAAAAGGGGGAUGCGGAGAAAGAGAGAAAGAGAGAGGGAGAGAGAGAGAGAGAGAGUCGGCUUGUGCGGCGAGUUUAUGGUGGUUGGAAGCACCGGCGGCGAAGAGACGCCGGGGACUGCCGACAGCCUGGGCUGUGUGACGUCAUCCCCGGGCAAACGAUGACGUAAAAGCCGGGAUAGCGUUACGCAAGCGUGGUGAGGAGGGGAAAGGGAAAGGCGAGGGGUGGGCUGCGCGCUACGCGCGCUUACCCACUGCCCUACUUUCCGCUUCGCGCGCGCAUCGUCACCCCCGCUGGCUCGGGGGGAUGAGCUCGAGCGUUCGUGUUCACCUCUCUUCUUCGCCCUCUUCUUCAUCCUUUUCCUCCUUACCCCGCUCUACCCGUCGUCGCCGCGCGGUGCGCGAACCGCGUGUCGAGUAGAAGGGUUAACUCUCAUUUCGAAGGGCUUUCUGCGUAAGCCCUAUUUAUUUAAGCGUUUAGCCGCGCGGAAACCUGGCGAGCGAAGUGCCGCCCGCUUAUCGAGAUGAAGACUUUUCGCUGUUUCUUUGUUGCUGCGUGCGAUAUUGCGAAACGUUCGUCGGAAAUCUUUGAUUUCCGAUAAAAUGCGUAUAUCCGAUGCCCUUUAAAGUACAGGGUAUUUCGAUAUUAUUCGAUACGCAUGAGUAAGUUCGUUUCAACGAAGGAAGAGACGGAAAAAUAAGACUUUCGUCGGAAUAUCGGAAGCUACUCGAAAGUGCAUUUUUUAAGUCGCUCAUGAAAUAUUUGUAAACAGAUCUCUUUGCAAUUUCUUAUUACACAUUUUUCUCAAAUAUAUUGUACACUUCGACUUUUUCAACGAGUUAUUUUUACAGCAGCAGUAUUUAUCAAUAUUGGUAUGAAAAAAAAAAAUCUGGUAUUUGUUAUAUCGAGACAGACAUUUUUCCGAGAUAUCCCCCCUCCCCCGUUAUACAUAUAAUCCUUUUGUUUCGUGUAAAACGUAAAAUAUUUGUGCGGUAAAAAUGUUUUUUUUUUUUGUAAAUUUUCGAUGGCUUUCGGCGUCGCUUUAAAGCGUAAUACUUUAAUAAAUCCGCACGAAUCCGUGUUGUGUAAAGUCGCGGUAAAGCUCUGGAUCGACACCACGUUUUCCCUCAUUUUAAUAAAACACGAAGUUUGCAACUCACUCCUAUCUCUCCCUCUUUCUUCUCUCUGUCCCUCUCUCUCUCUCUCUCUUUCGUGUUCCUUCGUUAUUUGACGCUGGGUAAGAAUUAAUGCGGCGACUCUCGGAUAAAAUCGGUGAAAUUGGCGAAAAUUCCCGGAAGACCGCCUCGAGCCCUCGUGAGAUCGUCCUCCCUCUCAUCUUCGCGUAUUCAAGCUCCAUUAAGUUCAACACCGUAGGAGAUGCCCCGUGGCUAUGGACCCGGGAUAAGAAUCGCAUCGACUUCCCCUUAUCUAGGUCAAAGGUAUGCACGGCACGUAGGACGUGUGCCUGUGUGCCUGUGUGCGGGUCCGUGUGGUGCGUGUUUGUGCGCGUGUACACUGCAUCCCAGCGGUAAACAACAUUGACACUGACGGCUUGGCUCACGAUCCACAUCGUUAAUAUACAGCAGCACGCUCGUGGCGCUCUCGCGCGUAUACAAAGAUACACGAAAUAUGUUAACGCGGGAUAAAUGUCUCCGGCGAUAUUGCGGAUUAACAACUUCGGCGAAAAAGAGAGACGAUCGGAGGAAUUAACAUCGAAAGAAAGCUAGAUACGCGCGGCUUUUAAACGAUUAAGAUGUACCUGUGCUCAUCGUCGAGAUAAGCUCCGCUUAUAGAUCGUUUCGGGUAAGGCGAUGUUCAACCUGAAGAGAUGGAGAAGCGGCCUUUAAUUAUUUCGGAGAUCACCGAUUAGUGGUUAAAGGAAAUUCCAUUGCGGAUUCAGUUGAUUAAGAGACACUUACCGAGCGUUACAAUGGCUUGUUCAUACACUCCCGGAGACAUGAGAUCCCUGAGCGAUUAAGGCUCUCUUUACUUCGAAAAGUUCUUGCCAAAUAUUAACGCCAUAGUUGUCGAAAAUUAAAUGUUGAGAUUUAACAUACGCUUUAAGAUUUUUGCGAAUGUUGAAGAAUUUGCCUCUUCUAUGGAAAGCAAUUAUUUUUGCAAACUGAAAUAUAUAGUUUGUUAAACGUUAAACAACUC